rnacentral:rRNA from 1 species
UACGUAGGGUGCAAGCGUUGUCCGGAAUUAUUGGGCGUAAAGAGCUCGUAGGCGGUCUGUCGCGUCUGCUGUGAAAACUCAGGGCUUAACCCUGAGCUUGCAGUGGGUACGGGCAGACUAGAGUGCGGUAGGGGGAGACUGGAAUUCCUGGUGUAGCGGUGAAAUGCGCAGAUAUCAGGAGGAACACCGGUGGCGAAGGCGGCGUCCUGGACCAAACACUGACACUGAAAAAGCGAAAGCCAGGGGGAGCAAAACGGGG